rnacentral:rRNA from 1 species
AUACGGCAGCGUACACAUGCAGUCGAGCGGUAACAGGUCCAGCUUGCUGGAUGCUGACGAGCGGCGGACGGGUGAGUAACGCAUAGGAAUCUACCCGGUAGUGGGGGAUAACCUGGGGAAACCCAGGCUAAUACCGCAUACGUCCUACGGGAGAAAGGGGGCUUCGGCUCCCGCUAUUGGAUGAGCCUAUGCCGGAUUAGCUGGUUGGUGAGGUAAUGGCUCACCAAGGCGACGAUCCGUAGCUGGUCUGAGAGGAUGAUCAGCCACAUCGGGACUGAGACACGGCCCGAACUCCUACGGGAGGCAGCAGUGGGGAAUAUUGGACAAUGGGGGCAACCCUGAUCCAGCCAUGCCGCGUGUGUGAAGAAGGCCCUCGGGUUGUAAAGCACUUUCAGCGAGGAAGAACGCCUGUCGGUUAAUACCCGGCAGGAAAGACAUCACUCGCAGAAGAAGCACCGGCUAACUCCGUGCCAGCAGCCGCGGUAAUACGGAGGGUGCAAGCGUUAAUCGGAAUUACUGGGCGUAAAGCGCGCGUAGGUGGCUUGAUAAGCCGGUUGUGAAAGCCCCGGGCUCAACCUGGGAACGGCAUCCGGAACUAUG